rnacentral:rRNA from 4 species
GACCUCAAAUCGGGUGAGACUACCCGCUGAACUUAA